AUUGAACGCUGGCGGCAUGCUUUACACAUGCAAGUCGAACGGCAGCGCGGGCUUCGGCCUGGCGGCGAGUGGCGAACGGGUGAGUAAUACAUCGGAACGUGCCCAGUAGUGGGGGAUAGCUCGGCGAAAGCCGGAUUAAUACCGCAUACGACCUGAGGGUGAAAGCGGGGGAUCUUCGGACCUCGCGCUAUUGGCGCGGCCGAUGGCAGAUUAGCUAGUUGGUGGGGUAAGGGCCUACCAAGGCGACGAUCUGUAGCUGGUCUGAGAGGACGACCAGCCACACUGGGACUGAGACACGGCCCAGACUCCUACGGGAGGCAGCAGUGGGGAAUUUUGGACAAUGGGCGAAAGCCUGAUCCAGCAAUGCCGCGUGUGUGAUGAAGGCCUUCGGGUUGUAAAGCACUUUUGGCGGGAACGAAAAGGACUGUGCCAAUACCACGGUUCGAUGACGGUACCCGCAGAAUAAGCACCGGCUAACUACGUG
rnacentral:rRNA from 1 species